GCCAGGGCUAGUGGAUUGGUAGUCAUAUUAUGCUGGGCUGUCAAGGGAGGUCUCUAUGGGGAACGGGUUUACGGGGGGGCUGGAUGGCAGCAGGUGAACAUGAAUAUUUCAGUCACAUCUCCAAUUGCCUUUUGUCCGGCUUGUUUUGGAGUGCCAACUUCACUGAUGCGGUACAGGGAAGAGAGCGAGAAGGCAAUGGUGGACAGGAGUAGAGAAUGAAACAGGCCGCCGACGGUGAAUUCACUAGUGGACUAUUAAAGGGGGAGUGUCAGCCUUGUAUUUGAAGAGGCGCCGGAUUGAGGAGGGCGGGGAUGAGUUCUGACCAGUGACAUGUCUAAACAACCGUAGACACCGACACAUACCACUUUAUCAUUGCUUCUGACAGACUCAAUGGGAAAUAUCUGGAUUUGUUUUGCUGCAGUAGGAAGAACUGCAAAUGAAUUAUUAUUCUGAAGUCCAAAGGAGAAAAGCUACACAGGAAAUCACCCGUGGAGGGAAUCUUUUGAAUGCAUGGGGACGGUCAAGGCUGAAGUCGCUACUGUUCUCAGUUGGACACAAGGCAUUGUCUGCUGAAAGGAUUAAUAGGGAGAGGAAGUGUGUAAGGAAUGUCUCGGCGUGUGCAGACCCAGGACGGCCAGGCCGAGGGAAUUGGCUCCAUGAAGUCACGCAAUCGGUUGCCUAUGAUUGGAUCAUCGGGAAGUAAGACAGGAGCCAAGGCUCCUCUGGCCAAGCACCAGCUCCCCUGUCAGUCUGGAUGGAGGAAGUGCCCCCACCCGGCCCAGACCUCCGACAACACCAUGACCCCGUGGAGUGGGCUGUCCCUGUCCGAAUCCUCCUUCACCAGCAUGCCUCCGCCCGCACCCGCCCCUGUCCCUGCACCCCUGUCCACCCACCUCCUCUGUCACCGGGCGGGGGGUGUCACCCCCCGGCAACCCGUCCCGUCGCCCCCCGUCACUGCGCCUGCAGAGGGGGGCAGGGCUGCCAGGGUGAGGCGCAGGGUACUCCCCCAGAGCAGGUUUCCACGUGCCCCGCGCUUGCCCCCCCUCAGGCCUGUCACUAACCUCAGCUUCUCUCGCAGCUUCACGUUCUCCUUCUUUGAGCUGCCGCUGCACCACUCCCCCCGCAGCCGUGCCGAACGGAUCCGAGACCUCGUGCUGCUGCUGAAACAGAUCCAGUACUGAUGGAUCGCGACACGGCCAGGGAAACCCAGUAAUGAUCGUAGCCCAGAGGUCAAUGUUCGUCUUAGUUCAGUGAUGCUGCUUUGACACACAUUUAUUCUCACUUUGAGCCCAUGGAUUAGAGUAUGGAAUGGCAUUAGUGUUCGUGUUGUGUGAUUUGUUUAGAAUGUGAUUUGUCCUUUUUUGGGCUGCCUGAAUCUGGAGCUUUGAAUUGUAAUGUGUGUAGAUAAAUGUUUAGUGAAGUAAUCUGUCAGAUGAGCACAUUUAAUAAUUUCAUUUGAAAUGGCACUAAAUGAAACCAUUUAUUUAGAAGGAAAAUAAAUUCAAACCAAAUCAACAGAGAUGAAACAUCGCAUUCUGAGUUUAGGAAGAUGCUUUACUGAACAUAGUCUUGGUAACGAUACAACUACAUGAUGAAGUAUAGAAUAAAAUAUUUAUUUGCUGUUUAAGUAUUAAGUAUUUAAGUUCUCCAUCCUGUAAAUUAAGCCCAAUUCAAAUAUUCAUAACUCAUUUCGUUUUUUAAUUGGAAUGCAAGUGAAAUUCAAAACUUAAUUCAGAAUUCACCCCAACCCUGAUAACAAAUGUUGUUUUAUGUGUCACGUUUACAAUGUAAUGUUGGCAACAUUUCUCUCUUUAGACUGUUUUUAUUUUAAAUUUUUUUGUCUCUGAAUUACUUGGCAGAAUUUUUAUAUCACUUUUACAAAUGACUAGUGUAAGCCUGCUUUGAGGACAGGGAUGAUUAACCCAAACAGCUGGAUCCGUUAUCAGUUCACCAAAAGAAUCAACCCAACCCUGAAAUAUAGUCGCCUGUGCUCACUAACUACUAGAGAUACAAGAGCUACCAGCACAGACCUUUCACACUCAUACACACACACAUACACACACACCUAUAAUCUACCAGACAGACAGAAGGACAUGGACGUCUGUACUGAGUGUCUGGGGAUAUCAGUGGACAGUGAGUCUACUAGUCGGAAGCUUUGAUGUUUCUAAUGUCUAUUUGGACUUGGUCCUUAGGAUGGGGUUCAACUAGUGAUGGCCAUACGAGGCUUCAUUACCAUUCUUCUAGCAGCAGGAUAUUAUGCUAGCAGUACUAACUCAGAUUUUCUUUUUCAAAAUAAAAGCCAUCAUUGAAAUAUAUAAGGCAAUAUAGUUAGCGAUCUAGUCUGUACAUUUUGUUUAAUGUCCGUUCCAAUAUUGUUUGUGUCUGUUCUUUUUUACAGACUAUAUUGGUAACUAUAUUGCCGUAUAAAUUUCAAUGAUGGCUUUUAUUGUGAUAAAGAAAAUCUGAGUGCUGCCAGCAAAAUAUCCUGCUGCUAAAAUACAGCUAAAGAAAGCCUUUUUUGGCCAUCACUAGGUUCCAUAUGAGAGAACCGUGCAGUCUUCUUAAGGCCAUGGGCCUGGUGACAUCGUGUCUGGUUAGGAGCCCACCAUUCACAUUCAUCAACAUGUUGUCUCCCUCCUCUCCAGUUCUAGAGGAACCACUUUGUUAUUCCAACCAAAUGUCAACUGAACAACAUUUUAACAGAAGAUGCUGUUUUAUGAAAAACUGCACAGAGAACUUGUGGCUUAUCUGUAGAGGCAAAACUUAAAUGCACAGG
ensembl:lncRNA